CCUACGGGAGGCAGCAGUGGGGAAUAUUGGGCAAUGGGCGCAAGCCUGACCCAGCAACGCCGCGUGAAGGAAGAAGGCUUUCGGGUUGUAAACUUCUUUUCUGGGGGACGAACAAAUGACGGUACCCCAGGAAUAAGCCACGUAUAACUACGUGCCAGCGGACGCGGUAAUACGUAGGUGGCAAGCGUUAUCCGGCUUUAUUGGGUGUAAAGGGCGUGUAGGCGGGAAUGCAAGUCAGAUGUGAAAACUAUGGGCUCAACCCAUAGCCUGCAUUUGAAACUGUAUGUCUAGAGUGCUGGAGAGGCACUCAGAAUUCCGUGUGUAGCGGUGAAAUGCGUAGAUAUACGGAGGAACACCAGAGGCGAAGGCGGAUUGCUGGACAGGAACUGACGCUGAGGCGCGAAAGCGUGGGGAGCAAACAGGAUUAGAUACCCCAGUAGUC
rnacentral:rRNA from 1 species